UGAUCCUCCCGUACCUCCUGCCGAGGCGGCCCGGGGCAGACACCCACGGCAGGGUCACUGCUGACUGCAAGAGAAGCUGCUUCAGAAGAAGAGAAAUUUGCAUCGUACAUACCUAAAGGAGGUUGAAUCAUAUCCUCGGGUGAGAGACCGGGACAAUGCGUGUGUCCAUUUAGCCCAGCCCAGUCUAACCUCUGACCUUGCACCUGGCCUUGUGUUACUUCACCACCUUCGAGCGGUUUCAUGAAAGAAGUGAAUACUUGAAGGAUUUGAAGAAACUGGGAGGAAACAGUGAAUUUUCCUGGAGAGGAACUCAACCAAAGGGCUGUGACAUUACAGAAGGGCCUCCCUUUGACUUCAGUUGGCUCUGGACAGGCCUGUGCAACAGGGAGGUGAGAGCUGGGCCUCAAAGAUGGUGUGGAUGAAAAUAUUUUGAGGAAAAUACAAAUACUCAAUGAGAAAAAGAGCAGGAUAGAAAUAGGCACAGUCUUGCAUAAUGGAAAACAAGUAAUUUUUAAGAUGAUAAAUGAAGCUGUAAGGAGCAGUAAAGAGAUGCAAAGGCAGGAACAAUAUAGCA